rnacentral:rRNA from 1 species
AACGUGCCCAGUCGUGGGGGAUAACGCAGCGAGAGCUGUGCUAAUACCGCAUACGAUCUAAGGAUGAAAGCGGGGGAUCGCAAGACCUCGCGCGAUUGGAGCGGCCGAUAUCAGAUUAGCUAGUUGGUGGGGUAAAAGCCCACCAAGGCGACGAUCUGUAGCUGGUCUGAGAGGACGACCAGCCACACUGGAACUGGGACACGGUCCAGACUCCUACGGGAGGCAGCAGUGGGGAAUUUUGGACAAUGGGCGCAAGCCUGAUCCAGCAAUGCCGCGUGCAG